UGUGCUGAGUGUGAUGGAGCUGCAGGGUGUGCAGGGUGCAGUGUGCCUGUGGUGUGUGUGAUGGAGCUGCAGGGUGUGCAGGGUGCAGUGUGCCUGUGGUGUGUGUGAUGGAGCUGCAGGGUGUGCAGGGUGCAUGUGCCUGUGGUGUGUGUGAUGGAGCUGCAGGGUGUGCAGGGUGCAGUGUGCCUGUGGUGUGUGUGAUGGAGCUGCAGGGUGUGCAGGGUGCAGUGUGCCUGUGGUGUGUGUGAUGGAGCUGCAGGGUGUGCAGGGUGCAGUGUGCCUGUGGUGUGUGUGAUGGAGCUGCAGGGUGUGCAGGGUGCAUGUGCCUGUGGUGUGUGUGAUGGAGCUGCAGGGUGUGCAGGGUGCAGUGUGCCUGUGGUGUGUGUGAUGGAGCUGCAGGGUGUGCAGGGUGCA